rnacentral:tRNA from 1 species
UAAACAUGUAGCUCAAAGGAUAGAGCAUUAGAUUCCGAUACUAAUUGUUAAAGGUUCAAAUCCUUUCAUGUUUAA